rnacentral:rRNA from 1 species
CAUAUGCUUGUCUCAAAGAUUAAGCCAUGCAUGUCUAAGAAUAAGCCUUUGAAUGGCGAAUCUGCGAAUGGCUCAUUAAAUCAGUUAUUGUUUAUUUGAUGUGUGUGAAAAUGUAACUCGUUUACUUUUUACUACUGGAUAACCGUAGUAAUUCUAGAGCUAAUACAUGUAACAAUUUUAAAGCCUUUAACCUUUAUUGUGUUGGGGGCUGCAUUUAUUAGAUUCAAAACCAAUCACUCUUUCGGGAGUCUCGAUUUAUAGUGAAUCAUGAUAACUAAGCAAAUCGAAAUUUAAAGGGGUUUUAUUUUUUUUUGGAUGCAAGUUCAUUAAAUUUAUAAAGUCCUUUCGAUGCUUCAUUCAAAUUUCUGCCCUAUCAGCUUUCGAUGGUAGGAUAUUGGCCUACCAUGGCGAUAACGGGUAACGGGGAAUCAGGGUUCGAUUCCGGAGAGGGAGCUUGAGAAAUGCCUACCACAUCCAAGGAUGGCAGCAGGCGCGCAAAUUACCCAAUCCCAAUACGGGGAGGUAGUGACAAUAAAUAACAAUGUUGGAAUAUUUUAAAAAUUCCAACAGUUGGAAUGAGAGUAAUUUAGACCUCUUCUCGAGGAACCAUUGGAGGGCAAGUCUGGUGCCAGCAGCCGCGGUAAUUCCAGCUCCAAUAGCGUAUGUUAAAGUUGUUGCAGUUAAAAAGCUCGUAGUCUAAAUUGCAAAGUUUUUAAAUGGAAAUGGUGUCUCUUUCUUUGGCGUUAUUUUGACUUACUGAGAAUUAUACUUUUUUCAUUAACUUUCGGGUUAAUGAUUAUAAGUACUCAGUGUAGUCGCGCUACUGAAUUAGACAUCCUUUGCUUGUAGUUUGAAGUACUUUAUCAUUUGAGGGACUUACUGUUCUCUCAAGUGGUAAUUCAAGGACUUCAAUAGUUUACCUUGAGAAAACUAGAGUGUUCAAAGCAAGCGAAUUAAAAAUUCUCUCGCAACUGAAUACAUUAGCAUGGGAUAAUAGAAUAGGACAUUUCGGGAGGUUAGAUAACUUUUGAAGUUUUCGGAUUUCAAAUUUUGUCUUUCCUCUUUUGGUCCUAUUAUGUUUUUGAUUGGUGGUUCAAGGACCAAUGUAAUGAUUAAUAGGAACGGUUGGGGACAUUCAUAUUGCAUGGCUAGAGGUGAAAUUCUUGGAUUCAUGCAAGAUGAACUGCUGCGAAAGCGUUUGUCAAAGACGUUUUCAUUGAUCAAGAACGAAAGUUAGGGGAGCAAAGACGAUCAGAUACCGUCGUAGUCCUAACUAUAAACGAUGCCGACUAGGGAUCGGUGGGCGUUAAUAUAAAAUUGUUCAGGUUAAUUCAUUUUUUUAUUUUGGUUUUUUUACCAAUUUUAAAAUUUUGAAUCCUGAACAAGAAAUGACCCCAUCGGCACCUCCAAUUUGAUUACUUCUCAAUGGGAAACCAAAGUUUUUGGGUUCCGGGGGGAGUAUGGUCGCAAGGCUGAAACUUAAAGGAAUUGACGGAAGGGCACCACCAGGAGUGGAGUUUGCGGCUUAAUUUGACUCAACAGCGGGAAAACUCACCAGGCCCAGACAUGGUUAGGAUUGACAGAUUGAGAGCUCUUUCUUGAUUCCAUGAAAGGUGGCGCAUGGCCGUUCUUAGUUGGUGGAGUGAUUUGUCUGGUUAAUUCCGUUAACGAACGAGACCUUGGCCUGCUAACUAGGGGGGGUUAUCGUUUGGUUGAGUUCAUAAGACAAGUAUUUUUUCCUUGCAUUUCGGUGUUUUGGAAAAAGUAUUUGUGUUUGUGACUUUUCCAUAUUUUGCGAUAGCACCUAAGAUUUACAAAAUCUUUCGACCCUUUAUUGGACUUCUGGGAGGAGAAGAGGAUACUUGCGUCUUAGUCUUCACGGAUUAGGAUGAAAAGGCCUUUUCACCAAUCCUUCUGGUUGAUUGGUAGAGGAAAAAUCCUUCUUAGAGGGACUAUUUGCGUUUUUACAAUUAGCAAAUGGAAGCGCGAGGCAAUAACAGGUCUGUGAUGCCCUUAGAUGUCCUGGGCUGCACGCGUACUACACUGACGAAUUCAACAAGUGGUUUAUACUUUGGUAGUAAAAAUGGAUUUUUUAGUUCUUCACGGGACUAGAGAGUUACUUGAUUAUCAAAAACCUUGGCAGAAAUGUCUGGGUAAUCUCUUUAAAGUUCGUCGUGCUAGGGAUAGAUGAUUGUAAUUAUUCGUCUUCAACGAGGAAAUCCUAGUAAGUGUGA